rnacentral:rRNA from 1 species
ACAUGCAGUCGAGCGGCAGAGGGAGCUUGCUCCGGAUGUUAGCGGCGGACGGGUGAGUAACACGUGGGUAACCUGCCUGUAAGACUGGGAUAACUCCGGGAAACCGGAGCUAAUACCGGAUAGUUCCUUGAACCGCAUGGUUCAGAGGAUGAAAGACGGUUUCGGCUGUCACUUACAGAUGGACCCGCGGCGCAUUAGCUAGUUGGUGGGGUAAUGGCUCACCAAGGCGACGAUGCGUAGCCGACCUGAGAGGGUGAUCGGCCACACUGGGACUGAGACACGGCCCAGACUCCUACGGGAGGCAGCAGUAGGGAAUCUUCCGCAAUGGACGAAAGUCUGACGGAGCAACGCCGCGUGAGUGAUGAAGGUUUUCGGAUCGUAAAGCUCUGUUGUUAGGGAAGAACAGUGCGAGAGUAACUGCUCGCACCUUGACGGUACCUAACCAGAAAGCCACGGCUAACUACGUGCCAGCCCCCCGCGCUAAU